UAGGGGAUAACACCUGGAAACAGAUGCUAAUACCGUAUAACAGAGAAAACCGCAUGGUUUUCUUUUAAAAGAUGGCUCUGCUAUCACUUCUGGAUGGACCCGCGGCGUAUUAGCUAGUUGGUGAGGUAAAGGCUCACCAAGGCAGUGAUACGUAGCCGACCUGAGAGGGUAAUCGGCCACAUUGGGACUGAGACACGGCCCAGACUCCUACGGGAGGCAGCAGUAGGGAAUCUUCCACAAUGGACGCAAGUCUGAUGGAGCAACGCCGCGUGAGUGAAGAAGGGUUUCGGCUCGUAAAGCUCUGU
rnacentral:rRNA from 1 species